UUCUCUCGCCCUCCCCCCCCUCAGAUUUUCACAGUCUCAGUUCAUUAGCUCCAUACUUUCACUAGGUCCUAACCUCCUGUUGUUUCUCCCCACCAGAGUCAGGUUUUUCUGCUUGGCUAAUGGCGGGCACCUGCUCUUUGUCUUGCUCGGCUUUGUAAGGACAGGGGAACACUGGGACUGCUGAGGAUACAAGAUGGCUAUUCAGUUCCAAAUUGUACAGAAUGGGAGAGCGCCAUUAAGAAGAUGAGAAAGUGAGUGCUAUCUUGGCGAAAAUCAACAUGGGUGGUAUCAGAAACAGGAAGCUACUAUGGAUGAUUGUUUUGAUGUGAUUCUCUCCUGUUUCUUCAAAGAACUUCAGCCACCCAGGGCAUUGCCGUAGCUCCCUGGCUUCACUGCUAAUCAGCCUUCCUUUAUACAAUGAUCCACCUAUUCUUGGCAUUGGAUGCUGCAUCCAAAUAAAAAUUAUUC